rnacentral:rRNA from 1 species
GAUGAACGCUGGCGGCGUGCCUAAUACAUGCAAGUCGAACGGAGGAUGUAGCAAUACUUCCUCAGUGGCGAACGGGUGAGUAACGCGUUGGUGACCUGCCCCAAAGUGGGGGAUAACAGCCCGAAAGGGUUGCUAAUACCCCAUGUUGUCAUCGGGAUCAGAUGCCUGAUGACCAAAGGAGUAAUCCGCUUUGGGAGGGGCCUGCGUGCCAUCAGCUAGUUGGUAGGGUAAUGGCCUACCAAGGCUGUGACGGGUAGGGGACCUGAGAGGGUGACCCCCCACAAUGGAACUGAAACACGGUCCAUACACCUACGGGUGGCAG